AUUGAACGCUGGCGGCAGGCCUAACACAUGCAAGUCGAGCGGAUGAAGAGAGCUUGCUCUCUGAUUUAGCGGCGGACGGGUGAGUAAUGCCUAGGAAUCUGCCUGGUAGUGGGGGAUAACGUUCCGAAAGGAACGCUAAUACCGCAUACGUCCUACGGGAGAAAGCAGGGGACCUUCGGGCCUUGCGCUAUCAGAUGAGCCUAGGUCGGAUUAGCUAGUUGGUGAGGUAAUGGCGCACCAAGGGGACGAUCCGUAACUGGUCUGAGAGGAUGAACAGUCACACUGGAACUGAGACACGGUCCAGACUCCUACGGGAGGCAGCAGUGGGGAAUAUUGGACAAUGGGCGAAAGCCUGAUCCAGCCAUGCCGCGUGUGUGAAGAAGGUCUUCGGAUUGUAAAGCACUUUAAGUUGGGAGGAAGGGCAGUAAGUUAAUACCUUGCUGUUUUGACGUUACCGACAGAAUAAGCACCGGCUAACUUCGUGCCAGCAGCCGCCGUAACAC
rnacentral:rRNA from 1 species